GGGCGGGACACGUGGUAUCCUGUCUGAAUAUGGGGGGACCAUCCUCCAAGGCUAAAUACUCCUGACUGACCGAUAGUGAACCAGUACCGUGAGGGAAAGGCGAAAAGAACCCCGGCGAGGGGAGUGAAACAGAACCUGAAACCGUGUACGUACAAGCAGUGGGAGCCUCUCUUUAUGGGGGGUGACUGCGUACCUUUUGUAUAAUGGGUCAGCGACUUAUAUUCUGUAGCAAGGUUAACCGCAUAGGGGAGCCGAAGGGAAACCGAGUCUUAAUUGGGCGUUAAGUUGCAGGGUAUAGACCCGAAACCCGGUGAUCUAGCCAUGGGCAGGUUGAAGGUUGGGUAACACUAACUGGAGGACCGAACCGACUAAUGUUGAAAAAUUAGCGGAUGACCUGUGGCUGGGGGUGAAAGGCCAAUCAAACCGGGAGAUAGCUGGUUCUCCCCGAAAGCUAUUUAGGUAGCGCCUCGUGAACUCAUCUCCGGGGGUAGAGCACUGUUUCGGCUAGGGGGCCAUCCCGGCUUACCAACCCGAUGCAAACUGCGAAUACCGGAGAAUGUUAUCACGGGAGACACACGGCGGGUGCUAACGUCCGUCGUGAAGAGGGAAACAACCCAGACCGCCAGCUAAGGUCCCAAAGUCAUGGUUAAGUGGGAAACGAUGUGGGAAGGCCCAGACAGCCAGGAUGUUGGCUUAGAAGCAGCCAUCAUUUAAAGAAAGCGUAAUAGCUCACUGGUCGAGUCGGCCUGCGCGGAAGAUGUAACGGGGCUAAACCAUGCACCGAAGCUGCGGCAGCGACACUUUAGUGUUGUUGGGUAGGGGAGCGUUCUGUAAGCCGUUGAAGGUGUCCUGUGAGGGGUGCUGGAGGUAUCAGAAGUGCGAAUGCUGACAUAAGUAACGAUAAAGCGGGUGAAAAGCCCGCUCGCCGGAAGACCAAGGGUUCCUGUCCAACGUUAAUCGGGGCAGGGUGAGUCGACCCCUAAGGCGAGGCCGAAAGGCGUAGUCGAUGGGAAACGGGUUAAUAUUCCCGUACUUGGUGUUACUGCGAAGGGGGGACGGAGAAGG
rnacentral:rRNA from 1 species